UCGAGAAUAUUUAGCAAUGGACGAAAGUCUGACUAUGCGACGCCGCGUGAGGGAUGAAGUAUUUCGGUAUGUAAACCUCUUUCGAUGGGGAAGAAACUACCUAUAGUAAUAUAGGAACUGACGGUACCCAGAGAAGAAGCCAUGGCCAACUCCGUGCCAGCAGCCGCGGUAAUACGGGGAUGGCGAGCGUUACUCGGAUUUACUGGGUGUAAAGGGCAGGUAGGUGGCUUUGUAAGUUGAAGGUGAAAUGCUCUGACUCAAUCAGAGAACUGCCUUCAAAACUGCAUUGCUUGAGGAUUGGAGAGGAGAGCGGAAUUCCAGGUGUAAGGGUGAAAUCUGUAGAUAUCUGGAGGAACACCAGUGGCGAAAGCGGCUCUCUGGCCAAUAUCUGACACUAAGCUGCGAAAGCUAGGGGAGCAAACA
rnacentral:rRNA from 1 species